GGAGUUGUGGCUCAGAGGUAGAGUACUCACCUAGCAUGUGCGAGGCCCUGGGUUUAAUCCUCAGAACCACA
rnacentral:tRNA from 1 species